rnacentral:rRNA from 1 species
UACAGAGGGUGCGAGCGUUAAUCGGAAUUACUGGGCGUAAAGCGUGCGUAGACGGUUAUUUAAGUCGGGUGUGAAAGCCCCGGGCUCAACCUGGGAAUUGCAUUCGAGACUGAAUAGCUAGGGUACGGUAGAGGGAAGUGGAAUUUCCGGUGUAGCGGUGAAAUGCGUAGAUAUUCGCAAGAACACCAGUGGCGAAGGCGGCUCACUGGCCCGGAACUGACGCUGAGAUGCGAAAGCGUGGGGAGCAAACAGG